rnacentral:rRNA from 1 species
UGGGGGCCUUAUGGGAGGCAGCAGUGGGGAAUUUUGGACAAUGGGCGCAAGCCUGAUCCAGCAAUGCCGCGUGAGUGAAGAAGGCCUUCGGGUUGUAAAGCUCUUUUGUCAGGGAAGAAACGGCUCCAGCUAAUAUCUGGGGCUAAUGACGGUACCUGAAGAAUAAGCACCGGCUAACUACGUGCCAGCAGCCGCGGUAAUACGUAGGGUGCAAGCGUUAAUCGGAAUUACUGGGCGUAAAGCGUGCGCAGGCGGUUUUGUAAGUCUGACGUGAAAGCCCCGGGCUCAACCUGGGAAUUGCGUUGGAGACUGCAAGGCUUGAAUCUGGCAGAGGGGGGUAGAAUUCCACGUGUAGCAGUGAAAUGCGUAGAGAUGUGGAGGAACACCGAUGGCGAAGGCAGCCCCCUGGGUCAAGAUUGACGCUCAUGCACGAAAGCGUGGGGAGCAAACAGGAUUAGAUACCCUGGUAGUCCACGCCCUAAACGAUGUCUACUAGUUGUCGGGUUUUAAUUAACUUGGUAACGCAGCUAACGCGUGAAGUAGACUGCCUGGGA